UACGUAGGGUGCAAGCGUUAAUCGGAAUUACUGGGCGUAAAGCGUGCGCAGGCGGUGAUGUAAGACAGGCGUGAAAUCCCCAGGCUUAACCUGGGAACUGCAUUUGUGACUGCAUCGCUGGAGUGCGGCAGAGGGGGAUGGAAUUCCGCGUGUAGCAGUGAAAUGCGUAGAUAUGCGGAGGAACACCGAUGGCGAAGGCAAUCCCCUGGGCCUGCACUGACGCUCAUGCACGAAAGCGUGGGGAGCAAACAGG
rnacentral:rRNA from 1 species